rnacentral:piRNA from 1 species
UUGGAAAUAGGACAAGUGUGGGUUCCCCAC